CCUACGGGAGGCAGCAGUGGGGAAUAUUGCACAAUGGGCGAAAGCCUGAUGCAGCAACGCCGCGUGAGCGAUGAAGGCCUUCGGGUCGUAAAGCUCUGUCCUCAAGGAAGAUAAUGACGGUACUUGAGGAGGAAGCCCCGGCUAACUACGUGCCAGCAGCCGCGGUAAUACGUAGGGGGCUAGCGUUAUCCGGAAUUACUGGGCGUAAAGGGUGCGUAGGUGGUUUCUUAAGUCAGAGGUGAAAGGCUACGGCUCAACCGUAGUAAGCCUUUGAAACUGAGAAACUUGAGUGCAGGAGAGGAGAGUAGAAUUCCUAGUGUAGCGGUGAAAUGCGUAGAUAUUAGGAGGAAUACCAGUUGCGAAGGCGGCUCUCUGGACUGUAACUGACACUGAGGCACGAAAGCGUGGGGAGCAAACAGGAUUAGAUACCCUGGUAGUCCACGCCGUAAACGAUGAGUACUAGCUGUCGGAGGUUACCCCCUUCGGUGGCGCAGCUAACGCAUUAAGUACUCCGCCUGGGAAGUACGGCCGCAAGGUUGAAACUUAAAGGAAUUGACGG
rnacentral:rRNA from 1 species